UUACUAAAUGGAGGCAAUCUAUUUGUCAGUUAAACUGUAAUCUGUCAAAAAGUAGAAUUAAUCAGUAGUCUAAUCAGCUCGCCUUUAAUCAAAAAGCAUUUGGCAGAAUUCAUUCAGAAGAUCUCUCUGUUGAGACCCAGUCUUGAGAUAGCCGUAUGUCAACCAGGUAUCUUCAUUUGGAUAUCCCAUGAACAACUCAAAUACAGCAUUCUGAAUUCAUGUCUUCAACUCCUGAUCCUGUGUAUCCUGUAUAUCCUGUCCUGAAUUCUGCUCCUUGAUUAUGAUGAAAAUAGUAUUAAUAGCAGUACCAGUAACAACAGCAUCGGCAGUAGAAGGAAUAGUAACAACAACUGUCAUUUAUCAAUUUCUUCACUAUCUAACCUUUACCAUGCAUACCCCCCCUGGAAAAAAUAAGAAUACAGCAAAAUGCUACUGCUGAUGGUGGUACCUACUGCAUCAUUUAAUUCCAGGAGGCCUAUGUCAACUAUCCAGAAGAGAAACUGGCACCUCUAGAGGACUGAAUUUCUGCCCCUUCCCUACUCCAACCCUGAGAUCCACUGAUAUGAGCUGGUAUGUUUGGGAAACUUAAGUCCAACCCUACUCAUUCAUUCUACCUCCCAGAAUAUAACUGCAGUUUUAAAGGAUAUCACUGGGUAAAUGGCUUUAAUAAAUAAAAUUCAUUUGAAAUCUA